GGCACUUGUAUGUGUUGACCUGGUAGACAAAUGCAUAAAAGACAGGUAUUAAAAUAAAUCCUCUUUUGCAAGCCAGAACUUAUUGUUCGAUAUGAACUUUGAUACAUAUAAGAAAGAAUAAG
rnacentral:snoRNA from 1 species